UGGGGAAUAUUGCACAAUGGGCGAAAGCCUGAUGCAGCAACGCCGCGUGAGGGACGACGGCCUUCGGGUUGUAAACCUCUUUUAGCAAGGAAGAAGCGAAAGUGACGGUACUUGCAGAAAAAGCGCCGGCUAACUACGUGCCAGCAGCCGCGGUAAUACGUAGGGCGCAAGCGUUAUCCGGAAUUACUGGGCGUAAAGAGCUCGUAGGCGGUUUGUCGCGUCUGCUGUGAAAACCCGAGGCUCAACCUCGGGCCUGCAGUGGGUACGGGCAGACUAGAGUGCGGUAGGGGAGAUUGGAACUCCCGUGGUGAUAGCGGUGGAAUGCGCAGAUAUCAGGAAGAACACCGAUGGCGAAGGCAGAUCUCUGGGCCGUAACUGACGCUGAGGAGCGAAAGGGUGGGGAGCAAAACAGGCUUAGAUACCCUGGUAGUCCACCCCGUAAACGUUGGGAACUAGUUGUGGGGUCCAUUCCACGGACUCCGUGACGCAGCUAACGCAUUAAGUUCCCCGCCUGGGGAGUACGGCCGCAAGGCUAAAACU
rnacentral:rRNA from 1 species